AAUAAAGGAGAACUCGCUUUUGAAGAUGCUACUCAAUGCAUGUUGAAAAGACCAGACUGGCCUGAGGCGUUUUAUAGGGCAGAGGCUUGAUGAGGCAGCAGAAGCCUUUUUCGAUGGUUUGAAAUUGGAUCCUAAAAAUAAAGAGCUUGAAGAUGCAUUCAGGGAGGUUUCUUUAGGCAGGUUGAAGGCCAUCAAUGUCCCGCUCUAAAUUGAAAGGCAGAUAUACGCACACAGAAACACCGAUAGGGGGUGGGAGUUUUUUGUCACCAUCUGUAAAAACCUAGAAACUUGCUGACAGUGGGUCUCUCGAACCCUGACAUAGUAGCUCUUGAAAAUCCCUUUUGUAAAAAAAUCAGGUCUUGACUAGUCUGAAACAUGGAGCUAUGUGCUCCCUUCUUUUGGUAAUGGCCAACUAAUCAUGUAGUGAGGUUUCUUAGCAUCCUCCAGUUUUCCUUAACAAAAGAGCUCGUAAAAAUAGUGCUGGUAUGCUUAAUUCUGUGAGCUUCUAGUAUUUCCUUUCACUUUUAGAUGGGUGGUUACAGCU